UACGGGGGGAGCAAGCGUUGUUCGGAUUUACUGGGCGUAAAGGGCGCGUAGGCGGUCAGCACAAGUCAGUUGUGAAAUCUCCGGGCUUAACUCGGAAAGGUCAACUGAUACUGUGCGACUAGAGUGCAGAAGGGGCAACUGGAAUUCUCGGUGUAGCGGUGAAAUGCGUAGAUAUCGAGAGGAACACCUGCGGCGAAAAGCGGCUCACUGGACCAUAACUGACGCUGAUGCACGAAAAGCUAGGGGGAGCAAACAGG
rnacentral:rRNA from 1 species